rnacentral:rRNA from 1 species
CCCCUUCGACGAGUCGAGUUGUUUGGGAAUGCAGCUCUAAAUGGGAGGUAAAUUUCUUCUAAAGCUAAAUACUGGCCAGAGACCGAUAGCGCACAAGUAGAGUGAUCGAAAGAUGAAAAGCACUUUGGAAAGAGAGUCAAACAGCACGUGAAAUUGUUGAAAGGGAAGCGCUUGCAGCCAGACUUGCUUGUAGUUGCUCAUCCGGGCUUUUGCCCGGUGCACUCUUCUGCGAGCAGGCCAGCAUCAGUUUGGGCGGUUGGAUAAAGGCCUCUGUCACGUACCUUCUCUCGGGAAGGCCUUAUAGGGGAGGCGUCAUGCAACCAGCCUGGACUGAGGUCCGCGCAUCUGCUAGGAUGCUGGCGUAAUGGCUGUAAGCGGCCCGUCUUGAAACACGGACCAAGGAGUCUAACAUCUAUGCGAGUGUUUGGGUGUCAAGCCCGAGCGCGCAAUGAAAGUGAACGGAGGUGGGAUCCCGCAAGGGUGCACCAUCGACCGAUCCUGAAGUCUUCGGAUGGAUUUGAGUAAGAGCAUGGCUGUUGGGACCCGAAAGAUGGUGAACUAUGCUUGAAUAGGGUGAAGCCAGAGGAAACUCUGGUGGAGGCUCGCAGCGGUUCUGACGUGCAAAUCGAUCGUCAAAUUUGGGCAUAGGGGCGAAAGACUAA